GAACGCUGGCGGCGUGCCUAACACAUGCAAGUCGAGCGGAGUCGAUCGACGGAAGCCUUCGGGCGGAAGAUGGUUGACUUAGCGGCGGAUGGGUGAGUAACGCGUGGGCAACCUGCCUCGAAGACCGGGAUAACAGCCCGAAAGGGCUGCUAAUACCGGAUGAGGUCAAGGAUCCGCAUGGAUUUUUGAUUAAAGGGGAAACCCGUUUCGAGAUGGGCCCGCGUCCUAUCAGCUAGUUGGUGAGGUAAAAGCUCACCAAGGCGACGACGGGUAGCCGGCCUGAGAGGGUGACCGGCCACACUGGAACUGAGACACGGUCCAGACUCCUACGGGGGGCAGCAGUGGGGAAUCUUCCACAAUGGGCGAAAGCCUGAUGGAGCGACGCCGCGUGAGCGAAGAAGGCCUUCGGGUUGUAAAGCUCUGUCUGGAGGGACGAAGGAAGUGACGGUACCUCCGGAGGAAGCCACGGCUAACUACGUG
rnacentral:rRNA from 1 species